GAUGAACGCUGGCGGCGUGCCUAACACAUGCAAGUCGAACGGAGUAUCUUUAACAGAAUUUCUUCGGAAAGGAAGAUAUUGAUACUUAGUGGCGGACGGGUGAGUAACGCGUGGGCAACCUGCCUCAUACAGGGGAAUAACAACCGGAAACGGUUGCUAAAACCGCAUAAUAUGCUAACAUCGCAUGAUGACUGCAUUAAAUAUUUAUAGGUAUGAGAUGGGCCCGCGUCUGAUUAGCUAGUUGGUGAGAUAAAAGCUCACCAAGGCGACGAUCAGUAGCCGGCUUGAGAGAGUGACCGGCCACAUUGGGACUGAGACACGGCCCAAACUCCUACGGGAGGCAGCAGUGGGGAAUAUUGCACAAUGGGGGAAACCCUGAUGCAGCGACGCCGCGUGAGUGAAGAAGUAUUUCGGUAUGUAAAGCUCUAUCAGCAGGGAAGAAAAUGACGGUACCUGACUAAGAAGCCCCGGC
rnacentral:rRNA from 1 species